rnacentral:tRNA from 2 species
GGGAUUAUAGUUAAUAAUAAUAUUUAGUUUGCAUCUAAAAGAUAUUGAAUUUUCAAUUUUUCUCA